AGGAUGAACGCUGGCGGUAUGCUUAACACAUGCAAGUCGUACGGGUGGAACUUGUUCCAUCUAGUGGCGGACGGGUGCGUAACACGUAAGAACCUACCUUUUGGAGGGGGAUAACAUUGGGAAACUGAUGCUAAUACCUCGUAAUACUGAGGAGUUAAAAGCGGGUAUCCUGCAAGGGAGCUACGCGCCAAGAGAGGGGCUUGCGGCUGAUUAGCUAGUUGGUGGGGGUAAUGGCCUCCCAAGGCCACGAUCAGUAGCUGGUCUGAGAGGACGACCAGCCACACUGGGACUGAGACACGGCCCAGACUCUUACGGGAGGCAGCAGUGAGGAAUUUUCCACAAUGGGCGAAAGCCUGAUGGAGCAAUCCCGCGUGGAGGAAGAAGGUCUGUGGAUCGUAAUCUCCUUUUCUCUAGAGAAGAACAAAAUGACGGUAUCUGAGGAAUAAGCUCCGGCUAACUAUGUCGCCAGCAGCCGCGGU
rnacentral:rRNA from 1 species